UUACGGGAGGCAGCAGUGGGGAAUCUUGCACAAUGGGGGAAACCCUGAUGCAGCGACGCCUCGUGAGUGAUGAAGCCCUUCGGGGUGUAAAGCUCUUUCGACAGGAACGAUAAUGACGGUACCUGGAGAAGAAGCUGCGGCUAACUACGUGCCAGCAGCCGCGGUAAUACGUAGGCAGCAAGCGUUGUUCGGAAUUACUGGGCGUAAAGGGUGUGUAGGUGGUGUCGUAAGUUUGGUGUGAAAUCUCCUGGCUUAACUGGGAGGGUGCGCCGAAGACUGCGAUGCUAGAGUAUGGGAGAGGUAAGCGGAAUUCCUGGUGUAGCGGUGAAAUGCGUAGAUAUCAGGAGGAACACCUGUGGUGUAGACGGCUUACUGGACCAUCACUGACACUGAAACACGAAAGCGUGGGUAGCAAACAGGAUUAGAUACCCCGGUAGG
rnacentral:rRNA from 1 species